GACGAACGCUGGCGGCGUGCUUAACACAUGCAAGUCGAACGGAAAGGCCCUGCUUUUGUGGGGUGCUCGAGUGGCGAACGGGUGAGUAACACGUGAGUAACCUGCCCUUGACUUUGGGAUAACUUCAGGAAACUGGGGCUAAUACCGGAUAGGAGCUCCUGCUGCAUGGUGGGGGUUGGAAAGUUUCGGCGGUUGGGGAUGGACUCGCGGCUUAUCAGCUUGUUGGUGGGGUAGUGGCUUACCAAGGCUUUGACGGGUAGCCGGCCUGAGAGGGUGACCGGCCACAUUGGGACUGAGAUACGGCCCAGACUCCUACGGGAGGCAGGAGUGGGGAAUAUUGCACAAUGGGCGGAAGCGUGACGCAGCAACGCCGCGUGCGGGAUGACGGCCUUCGGGUUGUAAACCGCUUUCGCCUGUGACGAAGCGUGAGUGACGGUAAUGGGUAAAGAAGCACCGGCUAACUACGU
rnacentral:rRNA from 1 species